rnacentral:rRNA from 1 species
AUUGAACGCUGGCGGCAUGCCUUACACAUGCAAGUCGAACGGCAGCACGGGGCAACCUGGUGGCGAGUGGCGAACGGGUGAGUAAUGCAUCGGAACGUACCUUUCAGUGGGGGAUAACGUAGCGAAAGUUACGCUAAUACCGCAUAUUCUGUGAGCAGGAAAGCAGGGGAUCGCAAGACCUCGCGCUUCCGGAGCGGCCGAUGUCGGAUUAGCUAGUUGGAGGGGUAAAGGCCCAACAAGGCAACGAUCCGUAGCGGGCCUGAGAGGAUGAUCCGCCACACGGGGACUGAGACACGGCACAGACUCCUACGGGAGGCAGCAGUGGGGAAUUUUGGACAAUGGGGGCAACCCUGAUCCAGCCAUGCCGCGUGAGUGAAGGAGGCCUUCGGGUUGUAAAGCUCUUUCGGCCGGGAAGAAAUCGCACGGGCUAAUACCCUGUGUGGAUGACGGUACCGGAAUAAGAAGCACCGGCUAACUACGUGCCAGCAGCCGCAGUAACAC